UACCCUAUUAUAAUAAAUAUUAAUUUUGUUCCUGGUUAGUAUUAGUUAGUUCUUGAAAUCCAAAUAAUUUGGCGGUAUUUUACUCUUUUCAGAGGAACCUGUUCUUUAAUUGAUAAUCCACGAUUUUAUUUACUUAAUCUUGUUUAUACAGUUUUUAUAUUUCCGUCAUAAGAAUAUUUUUAUAGAAUAAAUUUUCUUGAUUGUUUGAAAAUAAAUAUGUCAGGUCAAGAUGAAAUUAAUGAUUAAGUAGUAAUGGGUUACAAUAAAUUUAUUUAUAUGGAUAUAUAGUUUUAUGACUAUUUUGAAGGUGGAUUUGAAAGUAAAUAAAUUUAUUAAAUUUAUUGAUUUUUAGCUCUAAAUUAUGUACACAUCGCC
rnacentral:rRNA from 1 species